rnacentral:misc_RNA from 1 species
GGGUAAGUGAUACGUUCUUUACUAUUGCUGCAUUCUUGUUCUGCAUGAACACAGGGUCAAAUGUUUGACUAAUCUGUGAAUUCAAAAUACUUUUCUGGAUGGAUGAAAAGAAAAAAUCACAAUAAAAAUAAAGGAAAAGGGCGUUUCCGUGGUGUUUGAUUUUGUGUUGUGGGUGGAAUUUGGUCUCUCACUUUAACUCAAUACAUCAAGUCCAUGAACUUAUUGAUUUUACUCUGCUUUUAUUGUCAAAAUUAUAAUGUGUUUUUUGAGCUGCUUAAUUCUUUCAAGAUCUUUGUCUCCUAUGAGUUAUAUCCU